rnacentral:sRNA from 1 species
UUUUUUACCAGAUAAGCUUUUUAAAAAAUUAUGUUCAACAAUUAUCUUUUUAUUGUAGUUAAGUUUUUCAAAUUCUUGCUGUUUUCAAUAUCUCCUGGUUUCAUCAUCCCUACUGAGAAAUUACGUAUACAAUCUUAUAAUUAAUUGUUUGCUUUGGUCUUCUUUUAUUUUCCUGCUUUAUGAUAAAAUUUUCAUUAGCCUAAAUGUGUUAUUAAUUUUUCUUGUUUCUUAAAUAUUUGUUCAAUAUUAUAUUCACAACUUUAAGUUCAAAGGAUCAGUUUUCUGAACAGAUCUUCAUACACUAUAAAUUCCUUGUUGUAUGACCAUCUCUAAUAAUUUUAUUUUUAAUUUUUAGGUAAUGCCUGAUUAUAAUUUAAAUAAGGACGUUGACAAAAAUUAAUGAACCAUUUGCACAAAAAAUAUUUGAAUCAACAUUUAUUCACUCCUGGAAGAUAUUAAAUAUUUCAACAGAAUAUUCCAAUGGAUGGAACUUUUUCCAGCAUCUGGAUUAUUUUCCAGGUUAGACACAUGUUUGUCCACAGACUUGUCUUCUCUGAAUGAAAUCCAAAAGUUGUUUUUACUCCUAGAACCCUCAAAGCCUCUCUGUUUUUUGUCUAUCUAUUUUGCUCACUGUUGUUGAAUCUAUAUUCUUCAAAUGUGCCUUUACCAAGUCUCCAAAAUCACUGUGAGUAUAUGAUUCUCUGGGUAUGAGGUUGUGUAGUCAUGUCAAAUUAAAAUUUAAUAUUCCACAUACAGUCUGCACAGACAAAUAUAAGAAAUUUUGUAAUAACAUUUGUCUUGGUUAGUGUUGAUAGCUGAAUGCGAUUUCUUAUUCUACUGUGGAUCAAUAGAUCAAGAUUCCUUCAGAGAGGAAAGGCAAGUACCCAAAGGUUUUCUUCUAAUGACUGAAACACGUGGUCAGAAGACACACUAUUAACACUCGUCCUAAUAAUUUUUCAGCUAAAGAGUUGGGAAUGUAAGGAAAGGAAAUGGCUAGACUAUUCAAGAUUCUACUGGCAGAUUAUUUGUGAUGGUUGGUCUCUUUUUGCCUCCUAGAACAUUCAAGAGUACUUCAAGAGUUUUCCUCCCAUCUCUGGUGCAUCAAGUCUCAGCAGGUUUAGGAGCAUCCUCUCCCAUUGAGGCCAGCCAAGGUGGCUCCUACACAGGUGCCAGAGGGCCUCUGAUCAGCCCUCUGAUCAGACGUAUGUAUGAUGUAUGCUCUUUGGUUGGUGGCUCAGUCUCUAGGGUCCAGAUGCAAAGGAAAGAAGAGUUAAGAAAAGAAGGCCUUUCAUAACAUAUUGUUCCACAGGGGCUCUGAGCCCCACCAGGACAAAGUUUUCACAGUUGCUAGAGUUAACAAGACACGAAACCUACUAGGAAAAGACCUGACUUCUAUUUGCCAUGAUGGAAAACUCCCCACAGUAAUUCUGGAAUGUUUUAUGUUACUAUCUGCCUUAUGGACAAGAUCCUGCUUCUUAAAUGAACCCUAAUCUCUUCAAUUCCAUCAGCAUGAAGAGAAACAAUUGUGCAUCAAAUCAUUGGCUAUACAAUAAGGAUAUGCUGUCUCUCAACAAAGAAAAUGGAACCAAAACUGAGGGUAUAUUGGCAAUAUCACUAAACAUAGCAUCAUGUCAAACAAUAAAGAAGUUGGAUUGUGAAAAAGAUGUAAACAUAAAAACAAUCCAUCUGUGCAUAUGGUAGCAUGUAUCUUAAAGGAAUUACUUCAAAUUAUCAAAGGAAAUUUGCUGACAUCUAGACUAUAUGAAGAAUGACUUGGGGUACAUGACCAGGUCAAUGAAGAAGAGAAAGUAGCCACUGUGCAGAGUCCUUAUUUCAAAUACCUCCCACCAGGACCAAAUGUGUAUGGUCUUGUCUAUUGAUAAGACAGAAAACCUACUUGAAAAAGAGCUGACAACAAUUUGUGAUGAUCGAAAUCUGCCCACAGAAAUUCUGGAUAUGCUGUUCUUCAUCCAAGAAAAGGGGCCCCAAAUUCAGGAUAUAUCCAUAAUUUCACACAACAUAGCAUCAUGAAGAAGUUGGAUUGUGAAGAAGAUGUAAACAUAAAAAAAUAAUCCAUCUGUGUAUAUGGUAGCAUGUAUCUUAAAGGUAAGGAAAGUCCUUGCAUCAUACACCCUCAGGAUUCUUCUCAAUCUAUUUGAGUAGUUUCCUUCAUUAUGCAUUCCCUUGAGUGGUAGUAGAUAACAUAUAAGAGAAAUCUGAUAAAAAAGCAAAAACAAAAACAAAAAGCUGUCAUAAUGAGCAGUAAUGUAACUAAGUAUCUUUCAUUUGAUUCUUCCACAAGUAUAUGGAGAGUCACUUCAUACAUGCAUAUGAGUUUCACCUGAUAUGCAUGCCUCCUCAGAUGCAUUUGUCUAAGAGUGUUCUUAAGGGUGUCACUCUCCUUUUUUUCUGAGAGGCAGGUUUCUCUUCCUAGGUAUAGAGCACGUGACUCCUUCAUGUAUAUCUUUGCUGUACAUACCCAGUAGAAUCUCUUGGUCUGCUUGUCCCUCUCACUCACAAAAUAUUGGUAUCCAAAUGAAGGUUCACAUGGCUAUGUAACACGUAUUCUUAAGUACUGGGCCAUUCCUUCAGCACCAUAAUUUUAUUGUUAUAUUUAAAAAUUAAAAUCAUUUCACUCCUCCCUAUUCCUUGCUCUAAUGUUGUUUCCCUUCAAUCUCCCACUUCUGAUAAAAUACAUUUUCUUUAACUGUUAUUUUGUAGAUACAAAUAAAUCCAUAAAUAUGUUCAAAUAACCUGAUGAGUCCAUUAUCCUUGUUAGUAUCUGUACUAUUUCCAAAGGAACCAACUGUGAUUGGCUUACAAAUUAGGGGGUUCAUUUUUGAGAAAGACCAAUUUCCUCACUCUUCAUAGUAUUUAUUUGCAUGUAGUUCCUUAUCUAAAAGUUUGACUUCAUGAGAUUUCCUCAUUUUGAUUUAGUGUUACUAACUUGGAUAAUGUUUUGUUUAGAACUUGCUUAAACAACCAGACUGUGGGACUAACAAAAGUGAAGCUUCUCCUGCAUUUCUCUGAGGCCCAAUCCCAAAGCAGAUAUCCUGAUCCUCUGGUAUACAAUCAUUCUGACUUUUUAAACAAAUUUUUGGAGCCCAAGGUUAAGGAGUUAGUAUGUAUAUGUAGGCAGUGGGGCAUGGAGCCACAGGAUAUUUUGUUCUUUGUACCUUGAAUACGUGCAGUUUUCAAUAGUCAUCAUCCAUUGCAAAAAGAAUCUCCUUCGAUGGAUGGGUAAGGACUACAUUAUCUGGGAAUAUCAUCUUAAACAAUUAGACUACAGUUAGGAACAUCAUGCUUGUUUAGUGAAAUGGUCACAGGAAUUUAAGAGCCACGACCUC